AGCGAACACUGGCGGCAGGCCUAACACAUGCAAGUCGAACGAACUCUUCGGAGUUAGUGGCGGACGGGUGAGUAACACGUGGGAACGUGCCUUUAGGUUCGGAAUAACUCAGGGAAACUUGUGCUAAUACCGAAUGUGCCCUUCGGGGGAAAGAUGUAUCGCCUUUAGAGCGGCCCGCGUCUGAUUAGCUAGUUGGUGAGGUAACGGCUCACCAAGGCGAAGAUCAGUAGCUGGUCUGAGAGGAUGGCCAGCCACACUGGGACUGGGACACGGCCCAGACUCCUACGGGAGGCAGCAGUGGGGAAUCUUGCGCAAUGGGCGAAAGACUGACGCAGCCAUGCCGCGUGAAUGAUGAAGGUCUUAGGAUUGUAAAAUUCUUUCACCGGGGACGAUAAUGACGGUACCCGGAGAAGAAGCCCCGGCUAACUUCGUGCCAGCCGCCGCCGUAA
rnacentral:rRNA from 1 species